rnacentral:lncRNA from 1 species
GAACCAUAACCAUAUAACACAAUUACACAAAACCUCUUAUUUUCCAGAGAACCAAAUGAAAACCCUAAAUCGAUGAAAAAAUUCCCAAAUUGAGGAACCCUAAAUCGAUCUCAACUCUAAAUUGAUGAACAUGAUUCCUAAAUUGAUGAACCCUAAUUGAUCUCAACUCUAAAUCGAUCUCAACUACCUAAAUCGAUCUCAACUUUUCUCAUUUUCUGAAGAAACUGAAGAACACGUUCUGGGUUUCUGAAAUCGAUCUCAACAAACUAUGGCGUCAAACAUGAAUUCUCCCGCAGGAGUAGGAAGACCUUCUUCAGCCAGUCAAGAUUAGGUGUUAAGGAUUUAUCAUGUAGUACUUUGUAUAUUUUGUAGUAUGGUAUCUUUUAAAGCAAGGGUGGCUACAAGUACUUUGAUAUCCUUUGAAGUAUGUCUUAUGAAAAAUUUGAUAUAACCUUAACAUGUAGUAAUUCGGGAUAUGAGUCAUGAUACAUGUACCACCCCAUGUGGCAAUACACCCUUUACACCCACACAAAAUUCUGACACGUGGCAACUUGGACCCCACAUAAAUAGAAGAUAAAGUGUGGUUGUUAGAUGAAUUUACCAAAAUAUCCCUAAUACAUGGGGUGUACAAUGGGGUGUAGGAAUAAAAAGUGUUUAUGUAUAUGGGGUGUACAAUGAGGUGUACAACCAAGCAGAACCAAUACAAGCAAAUCAGACCAGGUGGACACAAUAAUCAUUAGAACUGGACACAAUAAUCCACACCAGAGUCAGCAAAAACAUAUAUCAACAAAGCCUCGACAAAAACAAUGAAUAAUAUGACUUCACACAUUGACACUGCUUC